UACAGAGGUCUCAAGCGUUUGUUCGGAUUCAUUGGGCGUAAAGGGUGCGUAGGCGGCGCGGUAAGUCGGGUGUGAAAUCUCGGAGCUUAACUCCGAAACUGCAUUCGAUACUGCCGUGCUUGAGGACUGGAGAGGAGACUGGAAUUCAUGGUGUAGCAGUGAAAUGCGUAGAGAUCAUGAGGAAGACCAGUGGCGAAGGCGGGUCUCUGGACAGUUCCUGACACUGAGGCACGAAGGCCAGGGGAGCAAACGGG
rnacentral:rRNA from 1 species